rnacentral:rRNA from 1 species
AGUGAACGCUGGCGGUAGGCCUAACACAUGCAAGUCGAACGGCAGCACAGUAAGAGCUUGCUCUUACGGGUGGCGAGUGGCGGACGGGUGAGGAAUACAUCGGAAUCUACUUUUUCGUGGGGGAUAACGUAGGGAAACUUACGCUAAUACCGCAUACGACCUACGGGUGAAAGCAGGGGAUCUUCGGACCUUGCGCGAUUGAAUGAGCCGAUGUCGGAUUAGCGAGUUGGCGGGGUAAAGGCCCACCAAGGCGACGAUCCGUAGCUGGUCUGAGAGGAUGAUCAGCCACACUGGAACUGAGACACGGUCCAGACUCCUACGGGAGGCAGCAGUGGGGAAUAUUGGACAAUGGGCGCAAGCCUGAUCCAGCCAUACCGCGUGGGUGAAGAAGGCCUUCGGGUUGUAAAGCCCUUUCGUUGGGAAAGAAAAGCAGCAGGUUAAUACCCCGCUGUUCUGACGGUACCCAAAGAAUAAGCACCGGCUAACUUCGUG